rnacentral:rRNA from 1 species
UACGUAGGGGGCAAGCGUUGUCCGGAUUUAUUGGGCGUAAAGAGCGUGUAGGCGGCCUUACAGGUCAGCUGUGAAAACUCGAGGCUCAACCUCGAGACGUCGGUUGAAACCGUACGGCUAGAGUCCGGAAGAGGAGAGUGGAAUUCCCGGUGUAGCGGUGAAAUGCGCAGAUAUCGGGAAGAACACCCGUGGCGAAGGCGGCUCUCUGGGACGGUACUGACGCUGAGACGCGAAAGCGUGGGGAGCGAACAGG